rnacentral:lncRNA from 1 species
GAGAAAACAGUUUCAUUUUAAAUUAUAUAUACCAAUAAACUGAGAGUAACAAACACAUGCACUCUCAAAUGUUCUAUAACAUUAUUACAUCAAAUGCAGAGUUCAGUUAAAGUUUGGAGAUCAGCAUUUUGUAAUAACAGCAGUUUUCAAUCAGUUAAGAAUAUCUAAGUUGCUCUUCUGCUGAAUUAAACAGGUACAGCAUAUGUCGGUAAGUGAUAUAAGGUAAGCAGUGCUACCAAAAUGCCUUGUUUCUCUAAAAGUCAGAUCUGAAAACAUAAGGACCAAAUGGACAAACAGCAGUGAGAAUAUUUCAGCAAUUUUAUCUUCAUUUAUAAAAGAAAGCACUUUUUACUUCCCGAGAGCCCUACCUCACAACUUCCUAUGUCUAAGCUCCACCUACUGGGAUCUCUGGUUUGUGACAAUGCUGUAGUUGGCAGCCCUCUGUGUAGGCUUUGAAAUGUAUCUGCACUGCUGAACUUUAGAUUUCACUGGUAAUUUUCUGUCACAAUUUUCAUUGAUAGCCUUUUUUUUUUUUACCCUUUAGGCAAAUACAACAAAUGUCUGAAAAUCAUGCUUUGGUAAAAGUAUUGGAGGACUUAACUGUGUUUAUCAAAUUGAAGGAAGACUAUGUGAGAAUGAAACAGACUUUGGAGUAGGCAGAAGUACGGCAGCUUCCAAUCUUAGCUGCAGAGCCCUAUGACCCUGGCUAAGCAGCUCUAAAGCUGGCAAAGGACAAGCCUUCAACAUGAAAGGGUGCAGGGCUCCCACUAGAAGAGGAAAGAAAGCAUGGAUUCUUCUCCAGAAAUGCUCCUUUAAUAAUUAACUUUGGAGACAGAGUUGAAGCCACAAGCAAAUGGCAAUGAAGCCAAUGGUCCAAGACACCAGAAAAAUUUUCGGUGGCAAAACACCAAGUACAGGCAAGGAAUUCAAAGU